UUUUAGCCCCGAUAGUAGUGAAAAUCCUUUUUGUUUUGAUUUUUCAUCAGAACAAAAAGAUUGAAACGGAUAGCAGGAACCAUC
rnacentral:sRNA from 1 species